GCAGUCGUGGCCGAUUGGUUAAGGCGAUGGACUAGAAAUCCAUUCGGGUCUCCCCGCACAGGUUCGAAUCCUGUCGACUGCG
rnacentral:tRNA from 2 species